rnacentral:lncRNA from 1 species
GAGGCCGCGAAAUGUAUUGAGAAGAUGCAGCAUCAAGUGCAAAAGCUUGAAAAGGAAAAUGCCGAGUUAAAAGAUACAAACAAAAUGCAAGCGGGCACAAUUGAAGAGCUUCAGAGAAACCCGCCGGGUCCAAGUUCGGCUUGAAAAGGAAAAUGCCGAGUUAAAAGCUAUAAAGAAGCUGCAAGCAAGGGCAAUUGAAAAGCUUCUGAAAAACCCGCUGGCUCCAAGAUCGGUAAGUCGGGUUUUUUCUGUCAUAACCGAAAAGGAAUUUUAAUUGUGUUACCAAUAUUAUAUGAGACUAUUUUAGAAAGUAGGAAGAGUCUCAUUGAUGAAAAGCAGUUACGGCAUCGAUAGUGG